GUCCGCCGACCAAAUUGUCUUCGCCUGGUUCGCCUCGCUUCCACGGUCUUCUCUAUUGCCUGUCACCCUCGCUCCCCACGCCGUCGACGGACGGUGGCGCUCUGGCCCAACCCCACAACCAUCGUCUUCUGCCAGCUUGGAUGCGAGUGGAGGCAAAAGGAAGAUGCACGUCGCGCUAGCUUGGAUGCGAGCCCGCGGCUCUAGCUCCCCCUAACGAGCCGCGCACCCCGUCCCUAGGCCCAGAUCCCGUCCUCCCUACGCAGGCUUGUGCGUCGCCGGCAAUGGAGGUCGCAUACUCCUCCUCGCUCACCUCUCCGUACCGAAUGUCGACAUCAAAUCUGGUUUUUCCUGGUGGCGGUGGCCUCAAUACUGGUGCCUACAGACCUCGCGUCCGAGUCCGUCACUCCGGCUCUUCCCGCACCCCUGCCCGGCAGCCCCUUGCUCCGUUCUGCUCGCCUGUCCAAUGUUCGGUCCAACCCCACCCCCACUCCCCAACCACUAGCGGACUGAGAUAGAUUUUAAUUCUGUCGUUUUUUUACAAAUUAGUUUGGGCUGAUUUCGUAUUAACGCACGAUUCUUUCCUGUCAUCCCCUUAGACGUAGCAAUCAUAGGGCCAUAUCAAAUAGCUAGAUGGACUGGCUAAUGGCUUUACUGAUUAUAUCUAAUACAUAAAUAUACUUCUGUAUGAACCUUGCUGUACAUCUGGGAACUCAAAGAGCGAGCUGAUUAAGAUAUCUUCUGAUUAAUAUGUGUUAUGCUUUCAGCUUCUACAUGAACAUGUCAUGAACCUCUCACCUCUAUAAAGUAUACACCGCAUCUAAGAACAUGCCGAGUAACAUUGGGGUAUGUGCUGAUUACAAUAUGUAGCUUGUUAAUUCAGUUAUGCAGGUAUGUUAGAGCAUGGGCCACUAUACCUUCGUGAGGACACACUAAAUUUUCUGACACCCCUUUUGCUAAGUAAGAUGCGCCACUCUGGAGUCUGGACUGGCCAAACUGGAAGGCAGCGACUUGUCGGCAGAGUAGAGGCAAGGCAAGAGGAGGCCAUCUUCACAUCCACUCCUUCAACUGCUACCUGUGGUAGAACAAAAAGAUUGCAUUCUCCUGUGACCUCUUGCAUCUUGGACCUUCAAUAAUCUGUUGAGCUGUUCGUGCAAUGUUUCAUUUGACUGAUAAUACUGAGAUAAACAUGUGAUGCACACUGAUUGCCAUAUAUAAGCUACUGCAGUAUAAUACUAAUAUAACUCACUAGGUAACUGAUUUGAUGCUAAUUAGUUAUAAGUGACUUUGUUUAAUUCUGCAAAUGUUCUUUUUAGACCGCAGCAUUUCUUUCCUGUACGGCCAUAUGUUGCUUGGUUAAAAUAAUGAAAGACAGAUUAUCAAAAUGGUUGGUGGAAACUUGCAACCUUAGUGGCUGCUCACGAGUUUGUUACGGGUCUGUCAAGCAGGUGUGCUCAAGCACGCAGCAAUCCCAGGUCUUUCAGUCGUUGAAAGAUGCUGUUCUUCUCACAAAAUAAAAUACAAUUGAAUCGCGAAUGAAAAGGUGAUAACUACAUCUACUUAGUCAGUUUUUUUUUGCCAAUGUUGUAAAUCUUAUUCUCAUCAUGACACAAUUCUAGCACCUCAACUCUUACUUUUCAUAUCCCCUCAUAAAUCAUCCUUGCAUUUGCUUUCGAAGUUGGAAAAUCAUGUGAACAAUUUUGGCUACAUCUGAAUGGUAAAUAGGAUAUAAUUUCUUAUCUAUGGAAAUUAUUUAGUUGACUGUUAUUACUUUUAUAAAUUUUGUUUCCCAUCAUGCUGAUUUGAUCACUGCUAUUUCAUUUAUCUCUGUCUGGCCAAGUGGACCAUGGACAACCAACAUUUACGAAGUGAAAGUUGCAGGUAUCAAAUUUUUGUGUGGUUGAGUAGACAAUGGUCUGACUUAAGCUUAUUAGAAAUUCCAUCGAUUCUUUUCGUUUCUAAAAUAAAUAAUAUUUUAAAAUAUAUUUGGACGUAUCUUGCAGUUCUUUGUCAUACUCAAUGUUUUGAUGAAAAGUGGCCAUGAGAGUAAAAAUAUUACAUAUCUACCUCAAUUUCUAAUACUCAAUCUGAAGUGGCUUAUCUCAAAUUAGUAUAAAGUAUGAUUUUAGCAUACUAGAAUUUCAUAGGAUAGGAAGGUAAAAUCAGUGUAGUUUAAGGAUUACUCAAGUAUUUUUUUCCCAUUACGAUUCUCAUUUCAAACAUGAUAAGCUUGGUUCUUUUCUCACUUCCUCUCCUAUUUUUUUGGUAGUAUUCUAUUCUCCAGCAGUACCAGAUUAUUUGAUUGUGCAGCAACCAUAUGUAGCUAUGUGCUUUAUUCUUAUUGAUUAUUAAAUUAAGAGGUUAUGGAUUUUAUUACACAUCUUUCUUUGCAGACUUUUACCCCAUGAUUGCAAUUUGAAAGAGCAAGAACCAUGAGCAAGUUCCUUUUUUUUAAAAAGAAUUUUAGGUGCAGCCAUGAAAUUGGUAUGUGGUGUCAGUUUCACCUUUUCAUUCUAAAGGUAUGAGUUUAAAGGAGAUCGACCAACUAUGAAUGGCAUGCUGCACAACCUGGAGACCCCUACUUAUGUCAUUAUUUGUACUUUUAUUAUUUAUAUUUGUAAUUCACCUAUCUUUGUUUUGUCUCUUGGAUGAAUGAUUGCAUGAUUUGGAACAUCUUUGAGCUCUAUGGCUGUUGCCACUUGAUACCUAUGUGUAUUGUGUAUUGGUUAGCCUGCCAUAUAAAAGUUGAUUUUCGUUA